rnacentral:rRNA from 1 species
GAUCAUGGCUCAGGAUGAACGCUAGCGGCAGGCUUAACACAUGCAAGUCGAGGGGCAGCGUGGAGUAGCAAUACUCUGACGGCGACCGGCGAAAGGGUGAGUAACGCGUGAGCAACAUGCCCGUAGUUGGGGGAUAGUCGAUGGAAACGUCGCGUAAUACCCCGUAACAACAGAGGCCGCAUGACCUUUGUUUAAGAGAUUUAUUGUCUACGGAUUGGCUCGCGUACCAUUAGCUAGUUGGCGGGGUAACGGCCCACCAAGGCGACGAUGGUUAGGGGUUCUGAGAGGAAGGUCCCCCCACAUUGGAACUGAGACACGGUCCAGACUCCUACGGGAGGCAGCAGUGAGGAAUAUUGGUCAAUGGCCGAGAGGCUGAACCAGCCAUGCCGCGUGCGGGAUGACCGGCCCUAUGGGUUGUAAACCGCUUUUGUUGGGGAGCAAUAAGGUCCACGUGUGGUCUGAUGAGAGUACCCAGCGAAUAAGCAUCGGCUAACUCCGUGCCAGCAGCUGC